ACGGGUGAGUAACGCGUGGGAAUCUACCGUGCCCUGCGGAAUAGCUCCGGGAAACUGGAAUUAAUACCGCAUACGCCCUACGGGGGAAAGAUUUAUCGGGGUAUGAUGAGCCCGCGUUGGAUUAGCUAGUUGGUGGGGUAAAGGCCUACCAAGGCGACGAUCCAUAGCUGGUCUGAGAGGAUGAUCAGCCACAUUGGGACUGAGACACGGCCCAAACUCCUACGGGAGGCAGCAGUGGGGAAUAUUGGACAAUGGGCGCAAGCCUGAUCCAGCCAUGCCGCGUGAGUGAUGAAGGCCUUAGGGUUGUAAAGCUCUUUCACCGGUGAAGAUAAUGACGGUAACCGGAGAAGAAGCCCCGGCUAACUUCGUGCCAGCAGCCGCGGUAAUACGAAGGGGGCUAGCGUUGUUCGGAAUUACUGGGCGUAAAGCGCACGUAGGCGGAUAUUUAAGUCAGGGGUGAAAUCCCAGAGCUCAACUCUGGAACUGCCUUUGAUACUGGGUAUCUUGAGUAUGGAAGAGGUAAGUGGAAUUGCGAGUGUAGAGGUGAAAUUCGUAGA
rnacentral:rRNA from 1 species